rnacentral:misc_RNA from 1 species
UCAUUAUGCAGUGAUCAGCAAAAGAGAUAAAGUAUUAAAAGCAUUGCUUCAAAAACAUUCAUCUUUGAUUUACCUUAUAAAUGGGAAAGAUGAAAAAGGGCAUACACCUGUCCAUCUAUGUAAGGCUUACCAUCCUAAAUUGCCUUAUUUCAUACGAAAGGGAAAUACUGAUAAGUUCAAGCUUUGGAGAAAACUGCAUUGUCAAAUCCCAAGAUACUCAUCCUCAAAGAAGAAGGAAAUUUUAGAAUGGAUGGAAGACCUUGGCACUGGA